GAACUUUGAUGUUGCUGAAAUAAGGCUUUGAGUACCCGAGGAGGGAAGCUGUGGAGAGAAGUUACAAGUGAGGUGCGGAAUAUCAGAGCCCUGCCACCUCUCCCAGUUGGAAGAUACAGAGCAUCCUACCACACACUGCAUCUGUUGGAGGUCACCUACAGGCAGCCCUGGCAGGACUUGAAGUCCCAUGUGCAACCACUGGAGGGCAGC
rnacentral:lncRNA from 1 species